rnacentral:rRNA from 1 species
GACAGAGGGUGCAAACGUUGUUCGGAAUCACUGGGCGUAAAGCGCGUGUAGGCGGCUUGGCAAGUCGGGUGUGAAAGCCCUGGGCUCAACCUAGGAAGUGCACUCGAAACUGCUUCGCUGGAGUGUCGGAGAGGAAAGCGGAAUUCUCGGUGUAGAGGUGAAAUUCGUAGAUAUCGAGAGGAACAUCGGUGGCGAAGGCGGCUUUCUGGACGAUUACUGACGCUGAGACGCGAAAGCGUGGGGAGCAAACAGG